rnacentral:rRNA from 2 species
UUGGAGGGCAAGUCUGGUGCCAGCAGCCGCGGUAAUUCCAGCUCCAAUAGCGUAUAUUAAAGUUGUUGCAGUUAAAAAGCUCGUAGUUGAAUUUCGGGGUUCUUCCGUUGGUCAGGCUAACAAGUCUGUACUAGCGUGUAGAAUCUCUACCUUCUGGGGAACCAUCAUGUUAUUAAUUUAGCGUGGUGGGAAACCAGGACCUUUACCUUGAAAAAAUUAGAGUGUUCAAAGCAGGCUUACGUCUGAAUACAUUAGCAUGGAAUAAUAAAAUAGGACGGUGGUCCUGUUUUGUUGGUUUCUGAAUCACCGUAAUGAUUAAUAGGGAUAGUUGGGGGCAUUAGUAUUCAAUUGUCAGAGGUGAAAUUCUUGGAUUUAUUGAAGACUAACUUCUGCGAAAGCAUUUGCCAAGGAUGUUUUCAUUAAUCAAGAACGAAAGUUAGGGGAUCGAAGACGAUCAGAUACCGUCGUAGUCUUAACCAUAAACUAUGCCGACUAGGGAUCGGACGAUGUUAAAUUUUAUUGACUCGUUCGGCGCCUUACGGGAAAC